GGCAACAUUUGGAAUGUAAAUAAGUAAAAUAAUUAAUUAAAAAUAAAAAGUAGGCCUGCACCUGGAGCUGAUCCUUUGACACAGAUCUCUAUAUUCAGAACCCCUGGGGAGAGAGCUGGAUUCUCAGAAGUGAGGACAAUCCUGAGCACAGGUGAGACCACCACUUCUGCUCACAUUUCCUGGUCCAAGAGGAAUCUCCCUAGAACCCUUUGGACAUGGGAACAGAGGAGCAGUAUGGGACAGGUUCCUUCCAGUUUUCACCUAUGCUCAGGAAUAAUUCUGUGACACAGCUCUCUGUACCCAGAUGCCACCAAAAGAAAGCUGGUCUCCAGGACUCUGACAAACAGGCUUACCGGAGGGCCAAGCCACUGUCAGAGGCAGCAAGACCAGUUAACACCUGAGAUAAGCAGAGCGCAAGAACCUAAGCAACAGAAACCAAGUGUACUUGGCAUCAUCAGAGUCCAGUUAUCCAAUGAUAGGAAGCCCGAGAUAGACCAACAAACUGGAAACGCAAGAUUUUGAUUUAAAAUCACAAUUCAUGAUAAUGUUAGAGGACUUUAAGAAGUACAUAAAUAACUCCCUUAAAAAAAUGCAGGACAGAGUUCCCUGCACCCAAAUCCUGUGGGGAGGGGGCACAGCACCUAGGAGUGCAGACAUUCCAAAGCUGCAGGACAGACUGCCACCUCUGCACACCUCAGCCCAUAUCCCUGGUCCAAGGGGAAACUGCACAGUGCCUCUGGACACAGGGAUAUAGGACCAGACAGCCGCUGGUACCCUAGGUUCUGGUCUGCGCCCAGGACAGAAAUGAUCUGGUCAAACAUUUCUCUAUACCCAAAUCCCAUGGGGGAAAGAAUGGGAACCUCAGAAGUGUGGAUUCUCCUGAGCAGUCAGAAGAGAAUACCCUCUGCGCACAGUCCAGACCCAAGAGGGAAUCACAUAGUGCCAACCGUGCCAGCGGGGUGCAAGGACCUACAGAAGCAAUCAGGGGCAGGACCCUUUGAUUUCUGCCCAUACCUAGAACUGGAAGACAGUCUUCAGGAGUGCUGACAUAUCUGAAAUCAGAGCACCUGUUCUCAGGAAAGACUGAAAGAAAACAGGAAAACAGUUCUACAGGAGUGUUGACACAGAGGCCUACAGCAGGGUCAAAUCACUCCCAGAAACAGCAAGACAAGCAAACACCAGAGACAACACAAUGGCAAGAAGUUAAUAUAAUUUCAAUUAACCAAAAUAAAGAUAGGCACACAAACAUAAUUCCACCUCUAACAACAAAAAUAACAGGGAGCCACAAGCAUUGGUCCCUAAUAUCUGUCAAUAUCAAUGGACUGGAUUCCCAAAAUAAAAAGAGGAACCAGGAUUUUGUUACAUACAAGAAACACACUAAGGUGACAAAGACAGACAGUACUUCAGAGUAAAAGGCUGGAAAACAAUAUACCAAGCAAAUGGUCCCAAACAAGCUGGAGUAAUGAUUCUACUAUUGAAUAAAACUGGCUUUCAACCAAAAGUCGUCCAAAAAGAUAAGGAACGACACUUCAUAUUCAUCAACGGAAAAAUGCACCAAGGUGAACUCUCAUUCCUGAAUAUCUAGCCUCCAAAUGCAAGGGCACCUACAUUCAUAAAAUAAGCCUUACUGAAGCUCAAAGUACACAUUGCACCUCACACAAUAAUAGUGAGAGACUUCAACACCCCACUCUCAUCAAGGGACAGAUCAUGGAAACAGAAACUAAGCAGAGACACAGAGAAACUAACAGAAGUUAUGAACCAAAUGUAUUUAACAGAUAUCUAUAGAACAUUUUAUCCUAAAGCAAAAGAAUAUACCUUCUUCUAGCACCUCAUGGUACCUUCUCCAAAAAAGCCCUUAUAGUUGACACAAAACAGGCCUCAACAGAUACAAGAAGAAUGAAAUAAUCCCAUGCGUCAUUUCAGAUCACCAAAGACUAAGACUUGUCUUCAGUAACAACAAAAAUGACAGAAAGACCACAGACACAUGGAAGCUGAACAGCACUCUACUCAGUGAUAACUUGGUCAAAAAAGAAGUAGAGAAAUUAAAGACGUUUUAGAAUUUAAUAAAAAUGAAGGGACAGCAUACCCAAAUUGAUGCGACAUAAUGAAAAUAGUGGUAUGAGGAGAACUCAUAGUUCUGAGUGCCUCCAAAUAGAAACUUGUCAGAGCAUACAUUACAAGCUUGACAGCACAGUUAAAAGCACUAGAAAAAAGAAGCAAAUACACCCAAGAGGAGUAGACAGCAAGAUAGAUAAACCCUUAGCCAGACUAACGAGAGGACACACAGAGAGAGUAUCCAAAUUAACAAAGUCAGAAAUGAAAAGGGAGACAUAACAACAGAAUCUGAGGAAAUUCAAAGAAUCAUCAGAUCCCACUACAAAAGUCUGUACUCAACAAAUCUGAAGAAAACGGACAAUUUUCUAGACAGAUACCAGUUACCAAAGUUAAAUCAGGAUCAGAUAAACCAUCUAAACAGUCCUAUAACUCCUAAGAAAUAGAAGCAGUUAUUAAAAUCUCCCAACAAAAAAAAAGUUCAGAACCAGAUGGGUUUAGUGCAGAAUUCUAUCAGACCUUCAUAAAAGUCCUAAUACCAAUAUUAUCUAAACUAUUCCACAAAAUAGAAACAGAAGGAAUACUACUUAAUUCUUUCUAUGAAGCCAUAAUUACGCUUAAUAGAAAGAUGCAAAAAGGAAAGAGAACUUCAGAUCAAUCUCCCUAAUAAAUGAAUAUUUAUGCAAAAAAAUUCAAUAAAAUUCUCACAAAACAAAUCCAAGAACAGAAAAAAAAUCAUCAUUCAACAAAACAAGUAGGCUUCAUCCUAGUUUUGCAGGGGGUUUAAAACCAUCAAUUCAAUACACUAUGUAAAAAAACUAAAAUAGAAAACCCACAUGAUCAUAUCAUUAUGAGAAAGCAUUUGACAAAAUUCAACAAGCCUUCAUGUUAAAAGUCUUGGGAAGAUCAGGAAUUGAAGGCCCAUCUGGAAACAGUAAAAGUAAUAUACAGCAAACCAGUAGCCAAUAUCAAACUGAAUGGAGAGAAACUUGAAGCAAUCCCAUUAAAAUCAGGAGCUAGACAAGGCUGCCAUUCUCUCCCUACCUCUUCAAUAUAGUACUCGAAGUACUAGCCAGAGCAAUCAGACAACAAAAGAAGGUAGGUCAAAUGUAUACUAAUAGGAAAGGAAGAAGUCAAAAUAUCACUAUUUGCAAAGGAAUAUGAUAGUAUACUUAUGUGACACUAAAAGUUCCACCAGAGAACUACUAAGCCUGAUAAACAGCUUCAGCAAAGUGGCUGUGUAUAAAAUUAACACAAACAUAUCAGUAGCCUUCCUCUACUCAAAGGUUAAACAGACUGAGAAAGAAUUUAGGGAGAUGACCUCUUCACUAUAGUCAUGAAUAUAAUAUAAAAUACCUUGUUGUGACUCUAACCAAGCAAGUGAAAGAUCUGGAUGACCAGAACUUCAAGUCUAUGAAGAAAGAAAUUUUGGAAGAUCUCAGAAGAAGGAAAGAUCUCCCAUGCUCAUGGAUUGGCAGGAUAAAUAGUGUAAAAGUGACCAUCUUGCCAAAAGCAAUCUACAGAUUCAAUUAAAUUCCCAUCAAAAUUCCAAAUCAAUUCUUCAUAGAGUUAGAUAAAGUCAUUUGGAAUAACAAAAUACCCAGGACAGUGAGCACUAUUCUCAACAAUAAAAGGACAUCUUGGAGAAUCACCAUCCCUGACCUCAAGCAGUAUUACAGAGCAAUAGUCAUAAAAUCUGUAUGGUAUUGGUACAGAGACAGGCAGGUAAAUCCAUGGAAUAGAAUUGAAGACCCAGAAAUUCACCCACACACCUAUGGUCACUUUAUCUCUGACAAAGGAGCUAAAACCAUCCAGUGGAAAAAAGAUAGCAUUUUCAAAAAAUGAUGCUGGUUCAAGUGGAGAUCAGCGCAUAGAAGAAUGCAAAUCGAUUCAUUCUUAUUGCCCUGUACAAAGCUCAAGUCCAAGUGGAUCAAGGACCUCCACAUAAAAUCAGAUACAUUCAAAUUAAUAGGAGAAAAAUUGGGGAAAUGCAUCAAACAGAUGGGCACUGUAGGAAAUUUUCUGACCAGAACAUCAAUGGCUUAUAUUCUAAGAUCAAGAAUAAACAAAUUGAACUUCAUAAAAUUUAAAAGCUCCUGUAAGGCAAAGGACACUGUCAUCAGGACAAAAUGGCAGCCAAAAGAUUGGGAAUAGUUCUUUGCCAAUCCUGUAUCUGAUAGAGGGCUAAUAUCCAAUAUAUACAAAUAACUCAAGUAGUUAGACUCCAGAGAAUCAAAUAACACUAUAAAAAUGGGAUACAAAACUAAACAAUGAAUUCUCAUCUGAGAAAUAUCGAAUGGCUCAGAAGUGCCUAAAGAAAUAUUCAACACCCUUAGUCUUUAGGGAAAUGCAAAUCAAAACAACCCUGAGAUUGCACCUCACACCAGUCAGAAUGGCUAAGAUCUAAAACUCAGGUGUCAACAGAUGCUGGUAAGGAUGUGGAGAAAGAGGAACACUCGUCCAUUGUUGGUGGGAUUGGACACUGUACAACCACUCUGGAAAUCAGUCUGGAGGUCCCUCUGAAAAUUGAACAUAUUAAUACUACCUGAGGACCCAACUACACCUCUCCUGGUUGUAUCCCCAAAAGAUGCUCCAACAUCUAACAAGGACACAUGCUUUCCUAUGUACAUAGCAGCCUUACUUAUACUAGCCCCAAAACUGGAAAGUACCCAUAUGUCCCUUAUUAGAAGAAUGGAUACAGAAAAUAUGGUAUAUUUACACAAUGGGGUAUCACUCAGCUAUGAAAAUCAAUGACUUCAUUAAAUUCAUAGGCAAAUGGCUGGAACUAGAAAAUAUCCUAAGUGAGUAACCCAAUCUCUCUCUCUCUCUCUCUCUCUCUCUCUCUCUCUCUCUCACACACACACACACACACACACACACACACACACACACACACACACACACACAAAACGCAUGCUAUGCACUCACCGAUAAGUGGUUAUUAGCCCAAAAGCUCAAAUUACUCAAGGUACAAUCCACAGACCACAUGAAACUCAAGAAGAAGGAUGACCAAAGUAUGGAUGCUUCAGUCCUUCUUAAAAUGGGGAAUAAAAUAUUCACAGGAAGAGAUAUGGAGACAAAUUUUGGAUCAGAGACUGAAGGAAUGACCAUUCAGAACCUGUACCACCUGUGGAUCCAGCUCAUAUUAAUAUAUAAAUUACAUAUAAUUUUAUGUAAAAUGUGAACAUAUGUGCACUAGUCAAAGAAUAAAAAAUAACCUAAGGGCCUGCAAAAUGCUUUUGUGUGUAAAGGUACUUGCCACCAAUGCUAGUGACCUGACUUUGAUCCCUGGGAUCUGUAUAUGGAAGAGGACAUGAUACAAAAAGUUGUCCUCUCACCUCAACAGGUGCACUAAUACAUGUGUGUGUGCACACAGAAAAAGUUAAAAAAUUAAAUUUAAAAAAUAAGAACCAAUACAUAAGUAAAAAAUUGUUAAAGGAUGCUGGUAUACAAAUAAUGUGAAAGAAGGAGAGCAGAGUUUGUCCUUGCUGAGAUUAGGACCUGUAACCUCUUAGGUUUUAUAUCUCCAAGCUGAGAAUCAUGUUACCUCCACUGUUCUCCACACAGUCACCCAAUUACUAAACAAUAUUACUCAGACCCAUAAAUAAAUACAGUCCCCAAGACACACAAUUAAAAUCCUGCACAAGUCACUGCUAUUUCCAUCACCCAUACAGACAAAUGUUUCCCUGGAUUCCUCAAGGAGGGAAGGCCUUCUAGCCCAAGCAUCUUAUCUCAUGCUGUAGAGAACAAUAGCAUCCAGGGUUAAGGCAGGCUUUGUACAGUGCUGGUACCUGCAGCAUGGCUAUUGUUCAGCUCUUCUGUUCAGAUAAUAUUUGUUUUUCCCACUCAGUCAGAAUGACGAAACCCGAGUCUGGAAAAAUAUAUAGCAAGUGGUUCAGAUAGGUUGUGCAGCACCAAAACUUUGUGGUAGUUGACUGAGAAAUCUAUUCCACAGGCCCAGGCAUUUGAAUACUUGGCCUCUGGUUGGUGACACUGUUUGGGGGAGGUUUAGGGUUUGUGGCCUUGCUGGAAGAAGUAUGUUGCUAGGGGUGCACUUGGGGAGUCUGUAGUCUCACUCAGGCCUAGUUUACUCUCUGCUUUGGGCCAGCAUUUGAGAAGUGAUAUCUCAGCUUCUCACUCCUGCCACACAGUUGCCACUUGCAACAUGUCUCCCCAUGAUGAUGGAGUCUUACCUUCUUGAAUUUCAAGCCAAAAUAAAUGCUUUCUUCUGUGAAAAAAUAAAUAAAAGCAAAAAAUCAUUAAAUAAAAGAAGAGAAAAGAAAUUGGUAUACUAGCAAUGUAUAUGAAGAAACACUAUUAAAAUAAAACAAAGUGUCAGAUAUAAUGGUACAUGUAUAUAAUUGCAGCACUUGGGAGGCAGAUGCAGGUGGAUCUCUGAGCAGUUUUGACCGGGGCUAUAUAGAGCCCUUUUGGAUGAAUUAAUAAAUUAAUGAAUAAAUAUCUCAGCAGGGGUCAUCCAUUAGGCCAUAGUUUUCUGUGUUGUUCUUUAUGCUGCACAGCCCUCUCACCUACUGUGGGAACACUAGGGUUCAUUUUCAAGUCACUAAAGAAGGCAGGUUUAAGGGCUCCCGGAUGUAGGAUGUCUGACUGUCCUGAACCAAUCAGGUUGUGCUUCUUUUGCUGGGAGCUUCUGUUCAGGGUCAGAGGUAGAUGUCCAGCCACAAAGUGUUUUAUUUAUGCCAAACAUUCUUGUUUUUGUUACAUGACAUGUUUAAUUUCUCUAGGUAUCUGCUUUCCAAACUCGUUCUAUUUUCUUCAUAAUAUUCUAUGAUAUCAGCCUGUAUCACAAUAUCCUUCUCCUCUCCAUGUGUGUGUCUGUCUCUUAUUAGUUUUCAAUAUGAUCUCCUUGGGUUCUCCCAAAGUCAUGUGGGCAGAGGUGCUAGGUGGCAAAGUGGCUCUUAGGAGAGACAGCAGCAUGGACAAAUAAGACCUGUGGAACCACAGCUCCUGCCAGCCCACAAACAAUGAGUAGAACCAUUUCUUAUUCAGUGUUGCCAGUGCAAGUAGCAAGGCCUCUGGGGAAGAUGAGACAGAAAUUAUACAUAAAGAGAAAAGUUUUUUUUCCUUUUUGUGGGAAGAAGGAAAGGAGGCAGAAGCAGAGACAGGACAUAAGAGCAAAACAAACUUGGUGUUGACCUUUCUUUCUCUGACUUCCAUCCACUUGACACAUGUACCUUAUGGGUUUGGCAUGGCUGCAUAAGGGGAGGUGUGACACACUUACUGCCCUUGGAGCAUCGCCAGGUCAUUGAUUUCCAUGAUCCCCAUGUAUGAUGAUGGUUGUUUUUGCCCUGAAGCUGGUCUGCUGUCUUUAGUAUGCUACCUUCAGUCUUUCUUUGUGGGAAAUAUACUUCCUCCAUUACUCAGAGCUAGUUGUGCCAAUGAAUGAAACAUCUGUAAGUGAAACAGGUGCAGUUUUCAAGUAUGAGGGAUGGAACUGGUCAUGAGGCUGUGGAGGAUGAGGAACAGGCCUUCCAUUUGGCCUUUAGGGCUAUGGGAAAGCAUCUAGACAACAUAACCAUAAAAGCCUACAUGAUCCUUUGUAUAAAUAGUUCACUGCCAGAUAGGGCCUUGAUUUUGGAAUCAUGAGGAGACACAUGUACCCUCUGAUCCACUGACUGCUGCCUUAACUAGCUAGUGUGAACUUGGGUAUAUCAAGGAUAGAGAGUUAACGUGUUGUCAUGAAGGAAAAGUAUGGAUAGAAAAAUAGGAAUUUAUGUUUGAUUUAGGAGCAAAUAUUAUUAAAAGAGAGUGCAUAAGGCUAUGGAAUUGCUAGGAUGAGGAAAAGAAGAUUAGAGAAUUAAAAGAUGAUAUAGAAGCACAUAAAAAGUUAAUGCUUUGCUCUAAUGCUUGAAAAAUGGGAGAUGAUAAUGCCUGGAAAGAUAUUAGAGAGAGCUAAUCACUUUACUUACAUAAAUUUUAAAACUUUGUGAGGAAUCAUUUUAAUUUUAGUAGCCUGUCAUCUUUCUGUUUUUACACGAGAAUAGUUACUAAAGAAUGCUCUCUGCUGUACCCGGAAAUAGCAAGAGCUACCCAUGAAGAACAGACUGUGUAAACCUGCAUGGAAAUGUGGUUUUGUUUUGUUUUUAGUUUGUGCUCUAAGGAAAUGGGAAUUGAAACUAUUGAUGUAGAAUUCAUAGAAUUUAUGAACAUUUAAGUUUUUGAAAAUAAUUAAUAAUGAUGUAAGUAAAAAAUAAAAGAGUAGCUCAGGCUCUCUGGUCAGAAAGGAGAAUAAGGAUGAAUGAUGAGAAUCUUUAGGGAACAGAGAGAGUACCUGAACUGACAGCUUGCAUCUACUACUGACUGAGUCAUUAUUGAAUCAGCGCUGCUCCCAUUUCCCCCUUUCCCAGGACCCUCCUCAUGCUGAGGCUGAGCCUUGGCAUGUGCCAAGAUUUAGGGAGCUCCCAAGUCUAGUUGGUACAUUCUCAAUGCCUUCAUUGGAGUGCCAUCUGUAGAGUGCCCAGUGCAGUGCUAGGCUACAGCAUCUUUGUGGGGUUAAGCAAGCAGGAGAGAGAAACAUUCACUUGAAGCCCCAUUUACAAGUUCCCUUGAGAGAUGUAGAGGAGAAUAGUCUAAGAGUGUCACUGAGCUCCUUGAAAGAGAAUACCAUCUGUGUAGAUACCAUCUGUCUAUACCUCUGGGACACAGUGAAGUGAAGGUUCAUCUAGUGAAUAAUGUCUCAAGACUUGAGGGAAAUGAGAAAGAGGUAAUAGCAUACUAUUGGACAGAGACCCCAUGGUAAAGAUCUCACAUCCUAGUGACUAUCCUGAGAUCCUAAGCAUCAUGUACAUGAGAACCAUGGGAGAAAGCAAAGGAGGUCUAACAGAAAAGGAAAAAGAGGAUGUGUUGAGUGACUCAGAGUUGUUGGGGAUGAGGUUACAAGGUCACUCUGAUGUGUACACUGUGUUUUUCUUCUGUACCAUAAAUGGACCACAGAGGGUCUAGUAUUGUAGUUAAGAAGCCAGUACUACAUCAGAUCUAUUUGAAUUUUUGUAAACUGGGCAGUGCUAAAAACUCUUCUCAUAAGUAAAUGCCCCAUAGUAUCUCAGUGCUUUUUGGUCUGUAGAAAAGGGCUUUCAGCUCAUAUGAGGGAUAUUUGAUGGCCACAGUCUCUGUCUUUGUUACCUGAGGUGGGUAGAAUGAAGGGCCUGAUAGCUGACCUAUGGGAAAGCCACCUUAGGAAACAGAAUACAAAUCAGGUGUGAGAUCUCAAUGUGUCUAACACCCCUGUGAUAUGCAAGUAUGUUAGAUAAUGGAAUAAAUUUAAUUGUUAUAUAUUAAUUAUAUACAUAAUGGAUUUUGUUAUGACAUUUUAAUUUAUACAUAUAACACACUUUAUCUUAUUACCCUACUACUCUCAUUAUCCAUUUCUUCUUAAUAAUAAAAAUGGUAUAUCUAUGUUGAUGUUUUCUUGAUUUCACAAGUGAACAAAAAGAUGUGGUAAUUGUCUUAUUUCACUUAACAUGGUAGGUAUGAUAAUAUAAGCCAUAAGUAAAAUGUAUGUUUAUUCUUUGCAUUAGGGUUAGAGAAAAAUUGUCACAUGAGAAACAUGAGUUUUUUUAUCUUUAUUAAUUUGGGUAUUUCUUAUUUACAUUUUGAUUGUUAUUCCCUUUCCCGGUUUCCAGGCCAACAUCCCCCUAACCCCUCCCGCUCCCCUUCUACAUGGGUGUUCCCCUCCCCAUUCUCCCCCCAUUACUACUCUCCCUCCAACAAUCACGUUCACUGGGAGUUCAGUCUUGGCAGGACCAAGGGCUUCCCCUUCCACUGGUGCUCUUACUUGGCUAUUCCUUGCUACCUAUGCGGUUGGAGGCCAGGGUCAGUCCGUGUAUAGUCUUUGGGUAGUGACUUAGUCCAUGGAAGCUCUGGUUGGUUGGCAUUGUUGUUCAUAUGGCAUCUCAAGACCCUUCAAGCUCUUUAAGUCCUUUUUCUGAUUCCUUCAAAGUGGGUCCCGUUCUCAGUUCAGUAGUUUGCUGCUGGCAUUCCCCUAUGUAUUUGCUGUAUUCUGGCUGUGUCUCUCGGGAGAGACCUUUUUCCCUUACUGCUUUUAAUAUUCUUUCUUUAUUUUGUGUAUUUGCUGUUUUGACUAUUAUGUGACAGGAGGAGUUUCUUUUCUGGUCCAAUCUAACUGGAGUUCUGUAGUCUUCUUGUAUGUUUGUGGGCAUCUCUUUCUUUAGGUUAGGGAAGUUUUCUUCUAUGAUUUUGUUGAAAACAUUUACUGGUCCUUUUUGUUGGGAGUCUUUACUCUCUUCUAUACCUAUUAUUCUUAGGUUUUAUCUUCUCGUUGUGUCCUGGAUUUCCUGUAUUUUUUGACCAGUAGCUUUUUCUGUUUUACCUUAUCCUUGACAGUUUUCGAUAUUUUCUAUGGAAUCUUCUGCUCCUGAGAUUCUCUCUUCUAUCUCCUGCAUUCUGUUGGUGAUGCUUGUAUCUACAGCUCCAUGUCUCUUCCUUUGGUUUUCUAUAUCCAGGGUUGUCUCCCUUUGUGCUUUCUUUAUUGCUUCUAUUGCCAUUUUUAAUUCUUUCACCUGUUUUAUUGUGAUUUCCUUUAAUUCUUUCAGGGACUUUUGCAUUUCCUCUCUAUAGGCUUCUGCUUCUUUAUUUGUAUUUUCCUGAAUUUCUCUAAGGGAAUUCUUUAUGUCUUUCUUGAAGUCCUCCAUCAUCAUGAUCAAAUAUGAUUUUAAAUCUAGGUCUUGCUUUUCUGGUGUGUUUGGAUAUUCAGUGUUUGCUUUGGUUGGAGAGUUGGGCUCUCAUGAUGCCAUGUAUUCUUGGUUUCUGUUGCUUGGUUUCCUGCUCUUGCCUUUUGCUCUCACUUUGUCUUUGGUGUUACCUUGUUCUGCUAUUUCUGACAGUUGUUAGAACGUCCUAUAGGCCUGUGUGUCAGGAUUGCUGUAGACCUGUUUUCCUGUUCUCUUUCAGCCAGUUAUGGGAACAGAGUGUUCUUCUUUCAGGCGUGUAGCCGUUCCUGUCUACUAGUCUUCAGGUGUUCCUAUGGGCGUGUGUCCUGAAUCCACCAGGCAGGUCACUUGGAGCAGAAAAGGUGGUCUUACCUGUGGCCUCAGGCCUCGUGUCACUUCUCAGAUCUGUGUUUCAACUCUCUGUGAGGGGCAAUAAUAUUUUAAUGUAAAUAAGAAAUACCCAAUUUAAUAAAUGUGGUGGAAUAAAAAAAGAAAAUCAGAAUUGAAAAGGGAGAUAUAGAAACAGAAUCUGAGGAAAUUAAAAAAAAUCAUCUGAUCCUACUACAAAAGCCUAUAUUCAACAAAACUUGAAAACCUGUAUGAAAUGGACAUUUUCUAGACAGAUACAAGGUACCAAAUUUAAAUCAGGAUCAGAUAAACCAUCUAAACAGUCUCAUAACUAGGAAAGAAAUAGAAUCAGAUAUUAAAAGUCUCCCAACCAAAAACAAAGUCCAGGACCAGAUGAGUUUCAUGCAUAAUUCUAUCAGACCUUCAUAGAAGACAUCAUACCAAUAAUAUCCAAACUAUUACUCAAAACAGAAACAGAAGGAACAGUACCCAAUUCCUUCUAUAAAACCACAAUUAUGCUUAUAAUACCUCAACCACACAAAGACACAACAAAGAAAGAGAACUUCAGACCAAUCUCCCUUAUGAAUAUCAACACAAAAGUACUCAAUAAAAUUCUCACAUUCCCAAUCCAAGAACACACCAAGGCAAUCAUCCAUCAUGAUUAAGUAGGCUUCAUCCCAGGGGUGUAAGGAUGGUUCAGUAUAUGGAACCAUGAAAGCAACCCACUGUAUAAACAACCUCAAAGAAGAAAACCACAUGACCAUUUCAUUAGAUGCUCAGAAUGCAUUUGACAAUAUUCAACACCCCUUCAUGAUAAAAGUCUUAGAAUCAUCAGGAAUUGAAGGCCAAUACCUAAACAUAGUAAAAUCAAUAUACUACAAAUGAGUAGGCAACAUUGAACUAAGUGGAGAGAAACUUGAAGCAAUCCCACUCAAAUCUGGGUCUAGACAAGGCUGCCCACUCUCUGCCUACUUACUCAAUAUAUUAUUCAAAUCCUAGCCAGAGAAAGCAGACAACAAAAGAAAUUCAAAGGGAUACAAAUUGGAAGGGAAAAAGUCAAAAUUUCACUAUUUGCAGAUGAGAAGAUAGUAUACUUAUGUGACCCCAAAAGUUCCACCAGAGAACUACUAAACCGGAUAAACACCUUCAGAAAAGUGUCAGGGUAUAAAAUUGACUCAAACAAAUCAGUAGCCUUCCUCUCCUCAAAGGAUAACAGGCUGAGAAAGAAAUAGAGAACUGGCACCCUUCACAAUAGCCCCAAAUAACAUAAAAUAUCUCGGUGUGACUAACCAAGCAAGUAAAAGAUCUGUUUGACAAGAUCUUCAAGUCUCUGAAGAAAGAAAUUGAAGAAGAUUUCAGAAGAUUGAGAGAUCUCCCAUGCUCCACAAUUGGCAAAAUUAAUAUAGUAAAGAUGACCAUUUUGCCAAAAGCAAUCUACAGAUUCAAUGCAAUUCCCAUCAAAAUUCUAACUCAAUCCUCCAUAGGGUUAGAAAGAGCCAUUUGCAAAUUCAUUUGGAAUAACAAAAAUAAAGGAUAGCAAAAACUGUCCUCAAUAAUUAAAGAACUUCUGGAGCAAUCACCACCCCUGACCUAAAGCAGUAUUACAGAGCAAUAGUAAUAAAAAUUGUAUGGUAUUGGUACAGAGUCAGGCAGGUAGAUCAGUGGGACAUAAUUGAAGACCUAGAACUGAACCCAUACAUCUAUGGUCACUUGUUCACAAAGGAGCUAAAAUGUUCCAGGGGGAAAAUAUAUCAUUUUCAACAAAUCAUACUGGUUCUAUUGGAGGUCAGCAUGUGGAAGAAUGAAAAUCGAUCCAUUCUUAUCACCUUCUACAAAGUUUUAGUCCAAGUGGAUCUAGGACUUCCACAUAAAACCAGAUACAUUCCAACCAGUAGAAGAAAAAGUGGGGAAGAACCUUGAAUACAUGGGCACCAGAGAAAAUUUCCUGAACAAAACACCAAUGGCUUAUGCUGUAUGUUCAAGAACUGACAAAUGGGAACUUAUAAAACUACCAAGGUUAUGUAAGGCAAAGUAUGCUGUCAUUAGGACAAAAUGACAACCAACAGAUAGAAAAGAUCUUUACCAAUGUAAAUUGAAUGGGUGAUUUUCUAGACAGAUGACAUGUACCAAAGGUAAAAAAAGCAGGUAAACGAUCUAAACAGGUUCAUAUCCCAUUUGGAAAUGGAGGAAGUCAUUAAAAGACCUCCCAUCCAAAACAAAAUAAAACAAAAACAAACAAACAAACAACCCCCCCAAAUAACACAAAAUAAACUUGAGGGAGUCUGUGAGGUGGAUCAAGAACAUGCUUGUUCAGCUUUAUUUCUCAGAACAGCUGAUGUUUUGCCUUUCUAAGCUCAUGUCUGUGCUGACUUUUGUGCAGGUUUCAGACACUCCUUUUAGAAGGCCUAUGGGACCUUGUUUCCAGACAGACAUAAGAACUGGUAAGGUCAACUGAACUCAGAUUUAAAAAAUUUCAGAGAAUUGAGAUGGGCAGGAAUGGAGCUGCUCCCUAUCCAUUUCUGUACCUGCUCUGAAACAGGUAUUCAUGAUGCCCCACUGAGAGGACCAAUAAAAGUAAGUCUCAAGCAUUUGGAGUUCUCCAUGCUAAUGAGGUAUCUAGCCACGGACUUUUCAGCUAAUGACCUCUCCUCCCUGGCCAUUUCUUGCCACAAAUGGUAUUUAAUUCCUGGUUUAUCCUGAGUAAAGUGUAUGAAUUCACAUCUGCCAUCAAAUAAAGCAGUAACAACAAGCAAGAAUCUUCUCUUCAUCAAGGAUCACUGCAGGGAAUGCCUUCAUUUAAAUCUCCCAGAGAAGUCUUCUCCCCCAACACCUCCAUACUCUCGGCAUUCACUCAGACUCUAACCGAGUUGAGCCCCUGUCUUGAACUUUGCCUUUCCCUUCUGCCUGGUAGUGGAUGCCCCGAGGGGAACUGUUUGGGAGGAUUUAGUAGGUUCAUUGGAUAAGGCCUGUUACUGGGGUUGGAAUUUGGGGUUUCAAAUGCCGAUGUCAAACUCUGUGUCUUUCUCUAGGUCAGAUGUGAGCUCUCAGCCACUUCUCUAGCACCAUACCUAUGUGCUGCCACACUCCCUGCCAUAAUGAUGUCGAACUACCACUCUGAACCUUUAAGCAAGUCCCCAGUUAAAUGAUUCUUUUUCUUUUUUAUUCUUUUCUUUUUUAUUUUUUUUCGGAGCUGGGGACCGAACCCAGGGACUUGCGCUUGCUAGGCAAGCGCUCUACCACUGAGCUAAAUCCCCAACCCUUUUUCUUUUUUUUAAAUCUUUAUUAACUUGAGUAUUUCUUAUUUACAUUUGGAUUAUUAUUCCCCUUCCUGGGUUCCGGGCCAACAUCCACCUAACCCCUCCCCCUCCCCAUCUACAUGGGUGUUCCCCUCCCCAUCCUCCCCCCAUUACCACCCUCCCCCCAAUAAUCACCUUAAAUGUGGGGUUCAGUCUUGGUAGGACCAAGGGCUUCCUCUUCCACUGGUGCUCUUACUAGGCUAUUCAUUGCUACCUAUGAGGUUGGAGGCCAAGGUCAGUCCAUGUAUAGUCUUUGGGUAGUGGCUUAGUCCCUGGAAGCUCUAGUUAGUUGGCAUUGUUGUUCAUAUGAGGUCUCCAGCCCCUUCAAGUUCUUCCAGACCUUUCUCUGAUUCCUUCAAUGGAGGUCCCGAUCUCAGUUCAGUGCAUUGCUGCUGGCACUUGCCUAUGUGUUUGCUGUAUUCUGGGUGUGUCUCUCAGGAGAGAUCUACAUCCAGAUCCUGUCAGCCUGCACUUCUUUGCUUCAUCCAUCUUAUCUAAUUGGGUGGCUGUAUAUGUAUGGACAACAUGUGGGGCAGGCUCUGAAUGGGUGUUCCUUCUGCCUCUGAUCUAAACUUUGCCUCCCUAUUCCCUGCCAAGGGUUUUCUUGUUCCCCUUUUAAAGAAGGAGUGAAGCAUUCGCAUUUUGGUCAUCCUUCUUGAGUUUCAUUUGUUCUGUACAUCUAGGAUAAUUCAAGCAUUUGGGCUAAUAGCAACUAAUCAAAGAGUGCAUACCAUGUGUGUUUUUCUGUGAUUGGCUUACCUCACUUAGGAUGAUAUUUUCCAGUUCCAUCCAUUUGCCUGUGAAUUUCAUAAAGUCAUUGCUUUUGAUAGCUGAAUAAUGUUCCAUUGUGUAGAUGUACCACAAUUUCUGUAUCCAUUACUGUUGAAGGGCAUCUGGGUUCUAUCCAGCUUCUGGCUAUUAUAAAUUAGGCAGCUAAGAACAUAGUGGAGUACGUGUCUUUUUUAUAUGUUGGGGCAUCUUUUGGGGAUAUGCCCAAGAGAGGUAUAGCUGGGUCCUCACAUUGAUCAAUGUCCAAUUUUCUGAGGAAUCUCCAGACUGAUUUCCAGAAUGGUUGUACCAGUCUGCAAUCCCACCAACAAUGGGGUAGUGUUCCUCUUACUUCUCAUCCUCUCCAGCACCUGCUGUCACCUGAGUUUUUGAUCUUAGCCACUCUCACUGUUGUGAAGUGGAAUCUCAGGGUUGUUUUGAUUUGCAUUUCCCUUAUGACUAAAGAUGUUGAACAUUUCUUUAGGUGUUUUUGAGCCAUAUGGCAUUCCUCAGCUGUGAAUUCUUUGUUUAGCUCUGAACCCCAUUUUAAUAGGGUUAUUUGUCUCCCUGUGGUCUAACUUCUUGAGUUCUUUGUAUAUUUUGGAUAUAAGUCCUCUGUCUGUUGUAGGAUUGGUAAAGGUCUUUCUCCAAUCUGUUGGUUACAAUUUUGUUCUGACAACAGUGUCCUUUGCCUUACAGAAGCUUUGCAGUUUUAUGAGAUCCCAUUUGUCGAUUCUUGAUCUUAGAGCAUAAGCCAUUGGUAUUUUGUUCAGGAAAUUGUCUCCAGUGCCCAUGUGUUCGAGAAGCUUCUCCACUCUUUCUUCUAUUAGUUUGAAUAUAUGUAGUUUGGUGUGGAGGUCCUUAAUCCACUUAGACUUAAGCUUUGUACAGGGUGAUAAGCAUGGAUCGAUCUGCAUUCUUCUACAUGCUGAAGUCCAGUUGAUCAAUCACCAUUUGCUGAACAUGCAAUUUUUUCCACUGGACGGUUUUGGCUCCUUUGUCAAAAAUCAAGUGACCACAGGUGUAUGGGUUCCGUUCUGGGUUUUCAAUUCUAUUUUAUUGGUCUAUCUGUCUGUCUCUGUACCAAUACCAUGCAGUUUUUAUCACUAUUGCUCUGUAAUACUGCUUGAGUUCAGGGAUAGUGGGUCCCCCAGAAGUCGUUAUAUUGUUGAGGAUAGUUUUAGCUAUCCUGGGUUUUUUGUUAUUCCAGAUGAAAUUGCAAAUUGUUCUGUCUAGCUCUUUGAAGAAGUGGAUUGGUAUUUUGAUGGGGAUUGCAUUGAAUCUGUAGGUCGCUUUUGGUAAAAUGGCCAUUUUUUACUAUAUUAAUCCUGCCAAUCCAUGAGCAUGGGAGAUCUUUCCAUCUUCUGAGGUCUUCAAUUUCUUUCUUCAGAGGCUUGAAGUUCUUAUUGUACAGAUCUUUCACUUACUUGGUUUAAGUCACACCGAGGUACUUUAUAUAAUUUGGGACUAUUAUGAAGGGUGUCGUUUCCCUAAUUUCUUUCUCGGCUUGUUUCUCUUUUGUGUAGAGGAAGGCUACUGAUUUAUUUGAGUUAAUCUUAUACCCAGUCACUCUGCUGAAGUUUUUCAUCAGCUUUAGUAGUUCUCUGGUGGAAAUUUUGAGAUCACUUAAAUAUACUAUCAUAUCAUCUGCAAAUAGUCAUAUUUUGACUUCUUCUUUUCCAACCUGUAUCCCCUUGAUCUCCUUUUGUUGUCUGAUUGCUCUGGCUAGAACUUCAAGAACUAUAUUGAAUAAGUAGGGAGAGAGUGGGCAGCCUUGUCUAGUCCCUGAUUUUAGUGGGAUUGCUUCAAGUUUCUCUCCUUUUAGUUUAAUGUUAGCAACUGGUUUGCUGUAUAUGGCUUUUACUAUGUUUAGGUAUGGGCCUUGAGUUCCUAUUCUUUCCAGGACUUUUAUCAUGAAGGGGUGUUGAAUUUUGUCAAAUGCUUUCUCAGCAUCUAAUGAAGUGAUCAUGUGGUUUUUAUUUUUCAGUUUGUUUAUAUAAUGGAUUACGUUGAUGAUUUUACAUAUAUCAAACCAUCCCUGCAUGCCUGGGAUGAAGCCUACUUGAUCAUGGUGGAUGAAUGUUUUGAUGUACUCUUGGAUUCGGUUUGCCAGAAUUUUAUUGAGUACUUUUGCGUCGAUAUUCAUGAGGGAAAUUGGUCUGAAGUUCUCUUUCUUUGUUGGGUCUUUGUGUGGUUUAGGUAUAAGAGUAAUUAUGGCUUCAUAGAAGGAAUUCAGUAGUGCUCUAUCUGUUCCAAUUUUGUGGAAUAGUUUGGAAAGUAUUAGUUUGAGGUCUUCUAUGAAGGUCUGAUAGAAUUCUGCACUAAACCCUUCUGGACCUGGGCUCUUUUUGGUUGGGGACCUUUAAUGACUGCUCUAUUUCAUUAGGAGUUAUGGGGUUGUUUAACUGGUUGAUCUCUUCCUGAUUUAACUUCGGUACCUGAUAUCUGUCUAGAAAAUUGUCCAUUUCCUGCAGAUUUUCAAGUUUUGUUGAAUAUAGGCUUUUGUAGGAAGAUCAGAUGAUUUUUUGAAUUUCCUCUGAUUCUGUAGACAUGUCUCCCUUUUCCUUUCUGAUUUUGUUAAUUUGGACACACUGUCUGUGUCCUCUCCUUAGUCUGGCUAAGGGUUUAUCUAUCCUGUUGAUUUUCUCAAAGAACCAACUUUUGGUUCUGUUGAUUCUUUCUGUGGUCUUUUUUGUUUCUACUUGGUUGAUUUCAGCUCUGAGUUUGAUCAUUUCCUGCCUUCUUCUCCUCCUGGGUGUAUUUGCUUCUUUUUGUUCUAGAGCUUUUAGGUGUGCUGUCAAGGUGCUGACAUAUGCUCUCUCCUGUUUCUUUUUGCAGGCACUCAGAGCUAUGAGUUUUCCUCUUAGCACAGCUUUCAUUGUGUCCCAUAAGUUUGGUUAUGUUGUACCUUCAUUUACAUUAAAUUCUAAGAAGUCUUUAAUUUCUCUCUUUAUUUCUCCCUUGAGCAGGUUAUCAUUGAGUAGAGCAUUGUUCAACUUCUAUGUAUAUGUGGGUGUUCUUCCCUUAUUGUUAUUGAAGACCAGCUUUAGGUCGUGGUGGUCUAAUAGCACGCAUGAUAUUAUUUCUAUCUGACUGUACCUGUUGAGGCCUGUUUUUUGACCAAUUAUAUGGUCAAUUGUGGAGAAAGUACCAUGAGGAGCUGAGAAGAAUAUAUAUCCUUUUGCUUUAGGAUAGAAUGUUCUAUAAAUAUCUGUUAAGUCCAUUUGGCUCAUGACUUCUCUUAGUCUGUCUAUGUCUCUGUUUAAUUUCUGUUUCCAUGACCUGUCCAUUGAUGAGAGUGGGGUGUUGAAAUCACCUACCAUUAUUGUGUGAGGUGUAAUGUGUGUUUUGAGUUUUAGUAAGGUUUCUUUUACGUAUGUAGGUGCCCUUAUAUUUGGGGCAUAGAUAUUUAGGAUUGAGAGUUCAUCUUGGUGGAUUUUUCCUUUGAUGAAUAUGAAGUGUCCUUCCUUAUCUUUUUUGAUGACUUUUAGUUUUAAAUUGAUUUAAUUUGAUAUUAGAAUGGCUACUACAGCUUGCUUUUUCAGACCAUUUGCUUGGAAAGUUGUUUUCCAGCCUUUCACUCUGAGGUAGUGUCUGUCUUUGUCCCUGAGGUGUGUUUCCUGUAGGCAGCAGAAUGGAGGGUCCUCAUUGAGUAUCCAGUUUGUUAAUCUAUGUCUUUUUAUUGGGGAGUUGAGACCAUUGAUGUUCAGCGAUAUUAAGGAAUAGUGAUUAUUGCUUCCUGUUAUAUUCAUAAUGGAUGUGAGGUUAUGUUUGUGUGCUUUUCUUCCCCUUGUUUCAUUGCCAAGACUAUUAGUUUCUUCCUUUUUCUAGGGUGUAGCUUGCUUUACCAUUUAUUAUCCUUUGUAGUGCUGGAUUUGUAGAAAGAUAUUGUGUAAAUUUGGUUUUGUCAUGGGUUAUCUUGGUUUCUCCAUCUAUGUCAAUUAAGCGUUUUGCAGGAUACAGUAACCUGGGCUGGCGUUUGUGUUCUCUUAGGGUCUGUAUGACAUCUGUCCAGGAUCUUUCAUAGUCUCCGGUGAAAAGUCUGGUGUGAUUCUGAUAGGUCUGCCUUUAUAUGUUACUUGACCUUUUUCCCUUACUGCUUUUAAUAUUCUUUUUUUAUUUUGUAAAUUUGGUGUUUUGACUAUUAUGUGGCGGGAGGUGUUUCUUUUCUGGUCCAAUCUAUUUGGAGUUCUGUAGGCUUCUUGUAUGCCUAUGGGUAUCUCUUUUUUUAGGUUAGGGAAGUUUUAUUCUAUGAUUUUGUUGAAGAUAUUUACUGGUCCUUUGAGCUGGGAGUCUUCACUCUCUUCUAUACCUAUUAUCCUUAGGUUUGAUCUUCUCAUUGAGUCCUGGAUUUCCUGUAUGUUUUGGACCAGUAGCUUUUUCCGCUUUACAUUAUCUUUGACAGUUGUGUCGAUGAUUUUUAUGGAAUCUUCUGCUCCUGAGAUUCUCUCUUCUAUCCCUUUUAUUCUGUUGGUGAUGCUUGUAUCUACGGUUCCUUGUCUUUGCCUUUGGUUUUCUAUAUCCAGGAUUGUUUCCCUGUGUUCUUUCUUGAUUGCUUCUAUUUCCAUUUUUAAUUCCUUCAACUGGUUGAUUGUGUUUUCUUGGAAUUCUUUCAGGGACUUUUGUGAUUCCUGUCUAUAGACUUGUACUUGUUUAUUUGUGUUUUCCUGCGUUUCUCUAAGGGAGUUCUUUAUGUCUUUCUUGAAGUUCUCCAGCAUCAUGAUCAAAUAUGAUUUUGAAUCUAGAUCUUGUUUUUCUGGUGUGUUUGGAUGCUCACUGUUUGCUUUGGUGGGAAAAUGGGCUCCGAUGAUGCCAUGUAGUCUUGGUUUCUGUUGCUUGGGUUCCUGCACUUGCCUCCCGCCAUCAGAUUAUCUCUGGUGUUACUUUGUUCUGCUAUUUCUGACAGUGGCUAGACUGUGUUAUAAGCCUGUGUGUCAGGAGUGCUGUAGACCUGUUUUCUUUCAGCCAGUUAUGGGAACGGAGUGUUCUGCUUCCGGGCGUGUAGUUUUUCCUGUCUACAGGUCUUCAACUUUUCCUGUGGGCCUGUGUCCUGAGUUCAUGAGUCAGGUCACAUGGAGCAGAAAAGUUGGUCUUAACUGUGGUCCUGAGGCUCAAGUUUGCUUGUGGGGUGUUGCUUAUGAGCUGUCCUCGAGGGCAGCAACCAGGAGGACCUGCGCCGCCCUUUCCAGGAGCCCCCAUGCAGCAGGGUCCCAGAUGGCCUUUGGUGUUUUCCUCUGGAGUCAGAAAUGUGGGCAGAGAGUAAUCUCUUCUGGCUUCCCAGUCGUGUCUGCCUCUCUGAAAGUUUAGCUCUCCCUCCCACGGGAUUUGGGUGCAGAGAACUGUUCAUCUGGUUGGUUCUUUCUGGUUCUGGCGGUGUCUCGGGCUCAGGGGACCUGCUGCUCCAGUGCCCUUAUCUACAGGGUCCCAGAGGCUGUAUACAGUUUCCUCUUGGGCCAGGGAUGUGGGCUUAGGUGGGCAGUGUUGGUGGUCUCUUCCGCUCUGCAGUUUCAGGAGUGCCCACCUGUCCAGGCGGUGAGCUCUCUCUCCCACAGGGUUUGGGAGCAGUGACCUGCGGGCGGAGAUCCUGAGGUGGGAAUCACGCUAAAAACUGGAAGUGUCUGGUCCUAGAGGAAUUUUGCCUCUGUGUGUCCUGAGACCACCAGUCAGGUAACUUGGAGCAGAAAAGUUGGUCUUACCUGUGGUCCAGAGGCUCAAGUUUGCUCAUGGGGUGUUGUUUAUGAUGUGUCCUUGAGGGCAGUAACCAGGAGGACCUGCGCUGCCCUUUCCGGGAGCCCCCAUGCAGCAGGGUCCCAGAUGGCCUUUGGUGUUUUCCUCUGGAGUCAGAAAUGUGGGCAGAGUGUAGUCUUUUCUGACUUCCCAGGUGUGUCUGCUUCUCUGAAGGUUUAACUCUCCCUCCCACAGGAUUUGGGUGCAGAGAACUGUUUAUCUGGUCGGUCCCUUCAGGUUCAGGUGAUGUCUUGGGCGCAGGGGACCUGCUGCUCCAGUGCCCUUAUCUACGGGGUCCCAGAAGCCGUAUGCUUCAGUAUUUUCAUAGCAGCCUUAUUUAUAAUAGCCAGAAGCUGUAAAGAACCCAGAUUCCCUUCAAAAGAGGAAUGGAUACAGAAAAGUGGUACAUCUAUACAAUGGAAUAUUACUCAGCUAUCAAAAACAAUGUCUUUAUGAAAUUCAUUAGCAAAUGGAUGGAAGUGGAAAAUAUCAUCCUGAAUGAGGUAACCCAAUCACAGUAAAACACACAUGGUAUGCACUCAUUGAUGAAUGGCUAUUAGCCCAAAUGCUCGAAUUACCCUAGAUGCACAGAACACAUGGAAUUCAAGAAGGAUGACCAAAAUGUAAAUGCUCCACUCCUUCUUUAAAAGGGGAACAAGAAUAUCCUUGGCAUGUAAUAGGGAGGCAAAGUUUAGAACAGAGGCAGAAGGAACACCCAUUCAGAGCCUGCCCCACAUGUGGCCCAUACAUAUACAGCCACCAAAGUAGAUAAGAUGGAUGAAGCAAAGAAGUGCAGGCUGACAGGAACUGGAUGUAUAUCUCUCCUGAAAGCACAGUCAGAAUACCGCAAAUACAUAGGCGAAUGCCAGCAGUAAUCCUUUGUAGUAAGACGGGACCCCCGUUGAAGUAAUCAGAGAAAUGCAUGGAAGUGCUUGAAGGGGCUGGAGACAAUAUAUCAUCAACAAUGCCUUCCAACCAGAGCCCCCAGGGACUAAGCCACUACCAAAAGACUAUACAUCGAUUGAUCCUGGGUUUCAACCUCAUAGGUAGCAAUGAAUAGCCUAGUAAGAGCACCAGUAGAAGGGGAAGCCCUUGGUCCUGUCAAGCAUGAACCCCCAGUGAAGGUGAUUGUUGUGGGGAGGGUGAUAAUGGACAGAGGAUGGAGAAGGGACUCCCAUAUAGAAGGGAAGGUGGAGGGGUUAGGGGGAUGUUGGUCCGGAAACCAGGAAGGCUAAUAACAACAGAAAUGUAAAUAUGAAAUACUCAAGUUAAUAAAGAUAAAAAAAAAGAAAAAAGAAAACAUAGACACAACUGUCAAAGAUAAUGUAAAAUAAAAAUGCUCCUAACCCAAAACAUACAGGAAAUCCAUGACACAAUGAGAAGAUCAAACCUAAGGAUAAUAGGUAUAGAAGAAUGUGAAGACUCUCAAGUUAAAGGGCCAGUAAAUAUAUUCAACAAAAUUAUAGAAGAAAACUUCACAACCUAAAGAACGAGAUCCUCAUAAACAUACAAGGAGCCCACAGAACUCCAAGUAUGUUGGACCAGAAGAGAAAUUCCUCCUGUCACAUUAUAGUCAAAACUACAAAUGCACAAAAUGAAGAACGAUUAUUAAAAGCAGCAAUGGGAAAAGGUCAAAUGAUAUAUAAAGGCAGACUUAUAAGAAUUUCACCAGUCUUCUCACCAGAGGCUAUGAAAGCCAGAAGAUUGUAGACAGAUGUCACAUGGACCCUAAGAGAACACAAGUGCCAGUCCAAGUUACUGUAUCCAGCAAAAUUCUCAAUUAACAUAGAUGGAGAAACCAAGACAUUCCACGACAAAACCACAUUUAUACAGUAUCUUUCUGCAAACCCAGUCCUUCAAAGGAUAAUAGACGGAAAACUCCAACACAAGGAGUGAAUCUACACCAUACAGAAAGCAAGAAUUUAAUUUCCUUGCAAUCAAAGCAAAAGAGAGACACUCAAACAUAAUUCCACCUCUUACAAAGGAAAUAACAGGAAUCAACAAUCACUAUUGCUUAAUAUCUCCCAACAUCAAAGGACUCAAUUCCCCAGUCAAAGGACAUAGACUAAGAGACUGGAUACAUAAAGAGGACCCAACAUUUUGCUGCAUGCGGAAAACACACCUCAGAGACAGACAUACACUACCUCAGGGUAAAUGGCUGGAAAACAAGCAAAUGGCCAGAAGAAACAAGUUGGAGUUGCCAUUCUAAUAUCAAAUAAAAUUAACUUUCAACCGAAAGUUAUCUAAAAAGAUAAGGAAGGACACUUCAUAUAUAUUAAACGAAAAAUCCACCAAGAUGAACUCUCAAUCCUAAAAAUCUAUGCUCCAAAUACAAGGGCACCUACAUACAUAAAAGAAACCUUACUAAAGCUCAAAGCACCUUGCACAAUAAUAGGAAGAGAUUUCAACACUCCAUUCUCAGCAAUGGACAGAUCAUAGAAACAGAAGUUAAACAGAGACAUAAAGAGACUAACAGAAGUUAUGAAUCAAAUGGGUUUAACUGAUAUUCAUAGAACAUUCCAUCCUAUAACAAAAGGAUAUACCUUCUUCUCACCACCUCAUGGUAUCUUUUCCAAAAUUGCCCAUAUAAUCAGUCACAAAAAAGGUGUCAACUGAUACAGUAAGAAAAAAAUAACUUCAUGCAUCCUGUCAGAUCACCUCACUGUAAGACUGUUCUUCAAAAACAACAAUAAUGACAGAAAGCCCCCAUAUACAUGGAAGUUGAACAAUGCUCUACUCAAUGACAACUUGGUCCAGGAAGAAGUACGGAAAGAAAUAAAAGACUUCUUAGAAUUUAAUGAAAAUGAAGAUACAACAUUCCCAAACUUAUGGGACACAAUGAAAGUGGUACUAAGAAGAAAGCUCAUAGUUCUGAGUGCCUGCAAAAAGAAACAGGAGAGAGCAUAUGUCAGCACCUUGAGAGCACACCUUAAAGCUCUAGAACAAAAAGAAUUAAAUGAAACCAAGAGGAAUAGUAUGUAGGAAAUAAUCAAACGAAUGGCUGAAAUCAACCAAGUAGAAAUGAAAAGGACUACACAAAGAAUCAUCAAAACGACAAGCUGGUUCUUUGAGAAAAUCAAGAAGAUAGGUAAACCCUUAGCCACACUAACCAGAGGUCACAGAGUGUGUAUCCAAAUUAAGAAAAUCAAAAAUGAAAAGGGAGACAUAACAAUGGAAUCUGAAGAAAUUAAAAAAUCAUCAUAUCCUACUGCAAAAGCCUAUAUUCAACAAAACUGGAAAAUCUGGAGGAAAUGUUCAAAUUUCUCGACAGAUACCAGGUACCAAAGUUAAAUAAAAAACAAAUUAAACCAUCUAAACAACCUCAUAACUCCUAAGGAAAUAGAAGCAGUUAUUAAAAGUCUCCCAACCAGAAAGAUUCCAGGACCAGAUGGGUUUAGUUCAGAAUUCUAUCAGACCUUCAUAGAACAUGUCAUACCAAUUCUAUCCAAACUAUUCCACAAAACAGAAACAGACAGAGCACUACCAAAUUUCUUCUAUGAAGCCACAAUUACUCUUAUACCAAAACCACACAAAGACCCAACAAAGAAAGAGAACUUCAGACCAAUUUCCUUUAUGAAUAUUGACACAAAAAUACUCAAUAAAAUUCUUGCAAAUCGAAUCCAAGAGCACAUCAAAAUGAUCAUCCAUCAUUAUCGAGUGUGCUUCAUCUCAGGGAUGCAAGGAUGGUUUAAUAUAUUAAAAUCCAUCAAUAUAAUCCACUAAAUAAACAGACUCAAAGAUAAGAACCACAUGAACGUUUCAUUAGAUGCUGAGAAAGCAUUUGACAAAAUUCAACAUGCUUUCAUGGUAAAAGUCCUGGAAAAAUCAAGAAUUUUAGGCCCAUAUCUAAACAUAGUAAAAGCAAUAUGCAGCAAACAAGUAGCUAACAUCAAACUAAAUGGAGGAAACUUGAAGCAAUCCCACUAAAAUCAGGGACUAGACAAGGGUGCCCACUCUCUCCCUACUUAUUCAAUAUAAGUACCUGAAGUCCUAGCCAGAGCAGACAGUGAAAGCAGGUCAAAGGGAUACAAAUUGGAAGGGAAUAAAUCAAAAUAUCACUAUUUGCAGAUGAUAUGAUGGUGUACUUAAUUGACCCCCAAAUUUCCACAGAGAACUACUUAACCUGAUAAACAACCCUGAGAUUCCACCUCACAGCAGUCAGAAUGGCUAAGAUAAAAAAAUUCAGGUUACAGCAGAUGCUGGUUAGGAUGUGGAGAAAGUGGAACACUCCUCCAUUGUUGGUGAGACUGCAAACUGGUACAACCACUCUGGAAAUCAGUCUGGAGGUUCCUCAGAAAAUUGGACAUUCCACUACCUGAGGACCCAGCUGUUCCUCUCUUGGGCAUAUACCCAAAAGAUGCUCCAACAUAUAACAAAAACACAUGCUCCACUAUGUUCAUAACAGCCUUAUUUAUAAUAGCCAGAAGCUGGAAAGAACCCAGAUGCCCUUCUACAGAGGAAUGGAUUAAAAAAAUGUGGUACAUCUACACAAUGGAGUACUACUUAGCUAUCAAAAACAAUGGCUUCAUGAAAUUCAUAGGCAAAUGGAAUGAACUAGAAAAUAUCAUCCUGAGUGAGGCAACCCAAUUAAAGAAAAACACACUUGGUAUGCACUCAUUAAUAAAUGGAUAUUAGCCAAAAGUCUCAAAUUACUCGAGAUGCAAUCCACAGACCACAGGGAGCUCAAGAAUAAGGAUGACCAAAAUGCGGAUGCUCCCACUCCUUAAAAGUGGAAAAUGAAAUCAGGAGAAACAGUGACAUACUAAUGCUCCUCAAAGGCUGUAUUUGAGACCUUCAUCCUGGUUCUGCACAAAAAUGGGCUAAGCAUGAAUCCUUGUACCUUUCCUUAUGAUAAGAGUCUUCCAGGCUGACAUCUUCAUAGCAUCUCUGACUUUGGUACAUGGUUCUGUCAGUAAUCAACCCUAUGAAUGGUCAGAUUUCAGUAAUGCCAUGAACGUCAAGAUCACAGGUGAGAUAUUUGUUCUGCAUUUUCUUUAGUAAACAGGUCUUUGUAAAUUUUGGAUGCUCUGGAAAGGCAUUAAUUUGAAACGUUUUGAUUACUAUGGAGAUACGUAGUCUUGAUGGUAGAUGUAAAGACAGAAGUGGAAAAGGAGACAUAGGAAUGCACUAUAUGGUCAUCAAUAAAGUAUGGAUACAGCCAUUUCAGAGGAAUCAUGAAAGGAGUUCGCACUGGCUGGUCUUAUGCCAACUUGACACAUAAACUUGAGUUAUCUGAAAGGACAGAACUUCUAUAGAGAAGAUACCUCUAUAAAAUCCAGCUGUAAGAUAUGUUCAUAAUUAGUGAUUGAUAGAGGAGAACCCAAUCAAUUUUGGGUGGUUCUAUCUGUGGACUAGUGGUGCUGGGUUCAAUAAGAAAGCAUGUUGAGAAAGCCAUUGGGUACAAGUCAGCAAGCAGCACCCAUCUAUAUCCUCUGUCUCAGCUCCUACAUACAUCCAGGUUUCUGGCCUGAUAGUUUGCAUAUGUUUGGUCCAGGGAAUGGCAGUAUUAGAAGGUGUGGCUUUGUUGGAGGAAGUGUGUCACUGUGGGGGUGGACUUAGAUAUCCUCUUCCUAGCUUUCUGAGGAUGCUGAAUCUAUUCUUGGCUUCCUUCGGGUGAAGAUGUAGAGCUCACCUUCUGCACCAUGCCUGCCUGGAUGCUGCCAAGCUCCCUCCUUGGUGAUAAUGGACUGAACCUCUGAACCUGUAAGCCAAUCCCAAUUAAAUGUUGGUUUAUAAAACUUACAUUGUUGGUCAUGGUGUCUGUUCACAGCAAUAAAACCAUAACUAAGACAAAGAGCAACAUGAAAGUGUAAGCCAAAUCAACCAUUUCUUCCCUGACUUGUUUUUUUGUCAGUAUGUAUAAACCCUAAUUAAGAAAGAGAUAAAGGCAAAGAACGACACAACUAUAGAUACUGACCCAUCAGAGAAAGGGUCAUUCUACUCUAACACUGUUAAUAUAAUUCAAAGAUUAGGUUAUCAAUUUAGAAUAUCUUAUUCUUUUCCAGAAAAACUAUUCAUGCUCCAUAUCUCAAUUGUAUUACAGGGUAGCUUGGUCAAUAUGGACCCUAAGUGUAGUUGGCAGUAAAAAAAUGCUGUGUUUAAUUUAACACUACUUUCUUUCAUGGUGUUGAGCCACAAUUAAUGCCAGAAUAUUAUCUUUCUGGGUGAAAGAAAAAACACCAAUCCCUGUGUGGCUGAAUCUUCCAUUAUAAAAGUAUACCUACACUCCCUCCCCCCAUAACAGUGAAUAAAGAGAAAAACCUUUUGGAGACAAUGCUACCAGAGAUAGGAAAGAUCAGAUAAGUCAGAUACAUGGAAUAGAGAGAUGUGGGAAGGGACUCGAAAGAGUCAGAGAUAAGAGAUAGGAAGAGCAGAAGGAAGAGGAGAUAUGAUCUCUCUCUCUCUCUCUCUCUCUCUCUCUCACACACACACACACACACACACACACACAGAAUGAAAAAUAAGGGAGGAGUGGCUCUAGCUUUGAGAGUUGAAUAUAGAGACUGAAAGGAUCAUGUCCUGUAGCCAGGAAGGAUUUCCAGAGGAGGAAAGGGGAUAUCAAUCCACCCAAAAAUUGUCUUACCUACAAGAUGUGCAGAGACUGAGGGAAGAGCCAACCAAUGAUUGCCAUAACUUGAGUCCCAUUCCAUGAGCUAGAUAUAGAUAUAACAAACCCUGAAAACUAUUAAUAAUACUCUGCUAUGCUUGCAGACAGGAACCUAGUAAACCUGUCUCCUGGGAGUUUUCAUCCAACAGCAGAUAGAGGCAGAUGCAGAAAGCACCAGAAUCUUGUGAAGAGUGGAGGAAAGAAGUAAGUAAGUCAGUGGGGUCAUGGACUCCACAAGAAGACACACACAGUUAACUAACCUGGGAUCUUUGUGGCUCACAAAGACUGAGCCAUCAACUAGUGAAAAUCAAGCAACUGGACCUAGGCCUGCUACACAUUUGCAACAAAUGUGCAGCUUGGUGUUCAUGUGAGUUCCUUAGCAAGUGCAGCUAGGCUAUCUCCAUCUCUGUUCUCUGCCAUAGGAUCCCCUUAUCCCUACUUGGACUGCCUCAUUGGGUUUAAGUGGGAGAGGAUGUAUAUAGACUCACUGGAACUAGAUGCUCCACGGUGGAGUGGUACCUAAGGGGUUUCCCCUUUUCUAGAGAAGGGGAGAAGCAGUGCAGGAGAGAUUUGUAAGUGUAAGACUUGAAAGAAAAGAGAGAGGGAGGCUGUGAUUCAAAUGUAAAGUCAAUAAAAACAUAAGAGAGAAAGUGUUGUAUUAGCAGAAUGAAUAGCUGGCAGCGAGAGAGAAAAAUUCUGAAAAUCAGAUCCCAGAGUCAGUGAAACAGAAACAUACAUAUGAUGAGGGAUAGUUCAAAUCUUAAAAAAAAGACUAAAGAACGUGGAAAACAGAGAAAGGUAUUGGGACAGAUGCCAAAUAAUCAUAUGAUAGCAUUUUGGUCACACAAAGUAUAACAUUGCAGUAACACAUAGAUCAGCCUAUGAGAAGAGAUGACUUAUGGGACAGUGAAGGGCCCUGGUUCCUAGUUGAGGAUGUUUGAAACCCGGGUGACCCUGAGGGAUGGUAGGCAUUUUGCCUAACUCCCAGGAAUCCAGGCCAGUCAUUAACCUGCAGCCCUCCAUAGAUUUGUGACUGUCAGUCACAUAAAGGCAAUGUCUUAAGUCCCUUCACAGGUAUAGGACAUGACCACAAGUCCCAUAGGCUCAAGACAGAUCUCCAUUACAGUGAGGUACUUAAAGGCCUGGAGACUUAGCCAAUCAAUUUCCCUUUUCAGACACUCCUCCCUGCAAAAUGUAUUUAUUCUCAGGCUCACUCUGAGAAGUGGGGUACAGUUUUACUUAUCCACCUUCCUCCAUGACAAUAAAUGCCUUGAAACCAUAGAUUGCCUCUUUUUAUCAGGAUCCACCUAGGGGAGCCACAGAGAAGGCCUUCACUUACAGAGCCUCCAUCUAAUCUCCUGAACAUGGCCUCACUGUGCUCCCAGCAGUGGCAGCACCAAGUUCAAGUCUACCACAGUCCAGCCACGGACUCUCCCACGGGACCAGCGGGAACUUCCCUCAUCUUUUCCCUCUCAGCCCCAGGCUAGAUCCAGCCCCAUGGACCCGACUGCAUUUUUAGCUUUUCCAUGGCAUCCCAGCAGCACCUGGAUGCCCAAGAGCCCGAGAACCAGACAGGGCUGGCCUCCUUGCAGGCCCGGGGAUCCCAGAGCCAGCCAUGGCUGUGUCCUGCUUCUAGUCAAUGCUUCCCAUCCCCAUCGGUGUCCCACCACUUCCCACAGCCUGACACCUGCCUGGCAGUGGCCGUGGGGUAAGAAUAUAGCCACCAAAACUAGAUAAGAUUGAUGAAGCUAGAAAAUGCAUGCUGAGAGGGAAUGGAUAUAGAUCUCUCCCGAGAGACACAUCCAGAACAUGUCCAAUACAGAGGUCAUUGCUACCAGCAAAUCACUGAACUGAGAAUAGGACCCCUUUGGGAGGAAUUAGAGGAAGUAUUGAAAGAGUUGAAGGGAGAGAAGCCAUGGCAGGACAAUAUGGCAGGUGACGUUAAGAUUCUGCUCUGUGUAUUUACAGGUUGUUAUUAAUGUUCUUAAGGGAUGGAUGGUACUGGGCUUUGUAUGUUUAGGUGGGCAAUUAUAUCUUAGCAAUUGGGUCUAAGGUUAUUGUGUUGUGUGUUCUUUCAUGUGUAGAUUUAAGUGUAAUGAAAUGUGGGGCGGCUAUUCUAGGCUGCCACGGGAUUGGAAUGUGUGCUUCUGGCAAGAUAUCCAGCAGAUAUCUUGGGGCACUGAGGUGCCAGAACUAAGGAUGAUAAAAGACAACCUUACUUUUUUAUUUUUUGUAUUUUACAACAACAGAUGGCAAACCAACCUGUGGGCAAGAAUCCACUAGUAAUUCUAAGAGUUGAGAGAAAGUUUCCUAAGUAAGAGGAGGCCAGCCAGGUGCUAUCUCAAGCAUGGGGGAAUUUAAACAAAGAAACACAGAAGCAGCCUGGGCUGGUAGACUGUAGGUCCCCUGCUGUGUGAUAGUAAUGGCAGAUCAGGAGUAAAAGAUUAAGUUACCUUUUAAAGAAAGUUGUUUAGAAAGUCUUUCAGGAUACUCAUAUUCCCUUUAACGUGGACUCCACGAGAAUUUUGGGUUGAAAUCCUAGUUAGACAAGCUACUUCUUAAUGACAGGUAUUAUUAAAAAGUGAUUAAGUUUGUUUUUAGAAAGAAGAGAGUAAAGAGAUUACCUGAAUCAGGUGGGAAUUUUCACCCACGGUUCAGAACUUAGAUAGGGAAAAGUUAGUCGCUAACUCCAAGUAGAGAGUUGUGAUAAAUGUCCGUAACACCAGGCAGAGUGAAUGCAGAUAUAUAGAAGUUAUGAAGGUUAAAUAAAAAUAUGUGGCUCCAGGUAGAGAGCAUAACAGAUGGAUAUAUUUUGGAUGAAAGUCCUGAUUUUAAGUUGCUUGUUGAUGUUGGAAUUGAUAGAAGGAAUUUACAAGUAAUUAAGGUUAAAGAAAAAUCUGUGGCUCUGGGUAGAAAGCUUAACAGAUGAAUAUAUUCUGGGCUAAAGUCCUUGUUUGAUACGCUGCUUAUUGGUAUUAGAAUUGAUAGAAGGUGUUUAAGUUUGUUUUAAGGAGAGUACAGAGAUUAUCCAAAUCAUAUGGGAAUUUUCAUCCAUGGUUCGGAAAUUAGGAAAAAAUUGGUCACUAACUCCAAGUAGAGAGUUGUGAUAAAUGUCUAUAACACCAGGCAGAGUGAAAACAGAGAUAUAUUAUAGAAGUUAUUAAGGUUAAAUAAAAAUCUGUGGCUCCGGGUAGAGAGCUUAACAGAUGGAUAUAUUUUGGGCUAAAGUCCUGAUUUUUAAGUUGCUUAUUGGUACUAGAACUGAUAGAAGGUGUUUAGUUUGUUUUAUGAAGCACUCCGCUAAAGGCCACGUGGCUCAUUGAUGCAGGCUAGUGAGGGGUUGUAGUUACUUUUGAUAUUUACUACAACAGGAAGUUUGGAUUCUCUUAAUGUGAACUCCAUGGGAAUUUUGGAUUCAUUUCCUGAUAUUAUAGAGUACAAAAGCCUAUCAGGCUCAUUAUUUAACUUACUUCCUUUUUAAAAAAAUUGUUUAAUCUUCAUAAUGGGUGUGACUUUGAGUUUUAUGGUUACAUUAUUACUCUGGGAGAGAGUGCAAGAUACAAGCUUUUUUUGGUUCCAGACUAAGGAACACAGUAUUUUGGGAGAAAGAUUUUGCCUUUGUGUUUCUAAAAAAGUGUGAUUAGGCUCUGGAAACAUGACAGAUUCAUACUGGUCAGAUUUGAUAGAGGUAGAUCACCUGAAAAAAUUGAUUCAGGAGAAUCAAACAAAAAGAGGUAGAUCACCUGAAAAAAUUGAUUCAGGAGAAUCAAACAAAAAGAUAUCUCGAUUCUAAACUUUUGUCUUGAGAGUUGUAUUUUACAGAGUGUGCCUACUUGGAUUCCUGGUCUCAAGGACUUUCAGGCAUAUCUGCUCCUAACAGUUCCCCUUUGGUGGAUUCAAUGAAGAAUUUGCACAUCUCUACCUCCAGGUUCCAGAAGAGUUUUCUUGAAGUCAUACACCAUCUCUGGCCAUAAAAAAGUUUUGGAGCUUGUUCUCCAGUAAUAACCCCACACUAGGAAUUUUUUUACAUGAGGUAAGUAUUCAAAUUUAACAUCCCUGCAAAAGAUGGGCACUGGACAAAAACUUAUUUUGCAUGUUUCAUGCAGCAUGUAGAAAUGUUCCUGAACUCAAAAACUGUUUCAUUGCCCCUUGCAUAUUCAUCGAUAUGUCCUUUAUUAAAUAAGAACGAAUAUUAGUUUAUAGAAUACCUGUCUGACAUCCUCAAAGACAUUGUUUGACCCCUGGAACUGAAUAAAUUUGAUAUGCUUUCUGAAGUCUGUAAUUUUAGCAUUUAGGAGGUUCAAUGAGGAGGAUCAGAAGGUUAAGGUCAUCCUUAUUAAUGUAAACUUGAAAUCACCCGAUUUAAGGCCUUGUCUCAUAAGAGAAAUAAAUAUGCGUAGAAGUAUUUAGUCUACACAAGCAAAUACAUUAUGUGUUUAUCUUCAAAGAGUUAAAAAUAUAAUUUCUGUAAGUCUCUUACACUUGGAGUUUAUCCAAAGCAUUUCAUUAUUUCCAUUUUUACCCCAGCCUUAUGAAUCUCUGUGGCUUGAUAUGCCCAGUGUUUCAGACAAAUGUGGUAUCUCUUUCUUACAGAUUUCAUGACCAGCUGAUUUUCUUAACUUGAAAAUAAGUGAUGGGGCAUUACAAAUGAGCCACUCAGACAAUGCACUCAUUGCUGGGAUCUUAUUCACACCAUCCUCUUCACAGAAAGCAUUCUGAUUUUGUUUUGUUUUGUUUUGUUUUUAAUCCUUUUUACUUAUCUACUUUAUAUUCUGCUCACUUCCUUGCUCACUUCCUCCCUCCUGGUUACCCCCUCCCACAAUCCUUCCCUUAUACUCCCUUCCAUACCCUCUUCUCUAAGUGGUUGGGACCCCCCUUGGUUUUUCCUUCCCCCCUAACACUUCAAGUCUGCCAGGUUAGGUCACAGGAAACAACUUUAAUGUGAAUACAUGCUGCCCUCUUCUGGUAGGUGAGCUCCAUGUGAUGAAUUCAUUUCAGAUAUCUGAAAGCCACACAUGACUUUAAUGCAGAUGGAUUAAAUGUACAGAGCCCUUAAAGGCAUCAUAUUUGAUGGUAGAAUGGAAUUGUCCAGUAUUUUGGGUCAUGCUUAUUCUCCAAACAUGCAACAUAACUCCAUUGAUUCCUGUCACCCUUCACACACCAAAAUCACUGUGCAUAUAUAAGAUAGAUUCUGCUGGGUAUGACCUGCAGUCCAAUGUAUUCAUUAGAGUUUUAUCAGCCAAAGAUGGCACCUGUUGCUACCCAUGAAAUGUUAUGAUGGAAAGUAGGGGAUUCUCUGACCUGAAUCAGUCAGUCUUGUGUAGGAUAACAUGGCUGGAUUUUGAGUGCCAAAUCUACAUUUGUGUGACUUCUGUGCAGUCACCCUGUAUCCCAGGUUUUGUUGAUUUGGGCAGCAAGAGAAUUUCUGUCCUCCAAGUGGGUAACUGAUUCAGAUCUUGAUUAUUGACUUUUUGUCAAACAUUUCUUUUUCAUUUAUUUGAGGGAACAUUUCUCCUUUACUUUUAUGGAUGAAAUACAUACACAGAGGUGAGCUUUAUGAUUCUUUAGCACAUUCUUAAGCAAACCUUGCCUUAUGGAGUAUACUCACUGUAUCCAGAAAUUUGUUGGUUUGAACAGUGAGGGGAUUUUUGUCUUUCUCCAAGGGAGUAAGUGGGUUUUGAUCUUGAUUAUUCACCUAUAGUUAAAUAUUGUUUCUUUCUUUACUUGAGAAAACACAUUUCCCUUUAUUUCUGUGGAUGAAAUACACAGAGGGAGGAAAGAUAGAUAGAUAGAUGGGAGAGAGAGAGAGAGAGAGAGAGAGAGAGAGAGAGAGAGAGAGAGAGAGAGAGGAGUUUUACACUUUUAAACCAUCCUCGACUUCUGGAGUACACUCCUGUUGAUCUUUUUAUGUUUUUCAUCUCAUAUGCCACGUUGUGUUACCUACAAUUAUUUAGAUAAAGAUUUUGUUUAUAUCAUUGGACAGGAAAACACUGUUCAUCCAGUUCCAUUACUGAAUGAGGAGGAUCAUAUUUUUUCAUAAGGACACCAGUGGGCCUGGUUGCAAUGACAGAGAAAAAGGUUUUUUUAAAGCUGUAUGAGAGAGAAGAGGGAUGGCUUAAGAACUUCUUAACAUGUUCUCAGGUGAAACCUAAUUAUUGCACAUUUCUGAGGACUUGAGUCUCUGUGGUUACUCCUACUUUUCUAUCACCAUCACUCUGAUGUUUAAAACUCUUCUUCCAUUAAAAAAUUAACCUUUAGCACGGCCAUCACCUUCUGGAAUCCCCCAGUGGCUACUAUAUUAACUGUGCUUAGACCUUUGUCUAGACUGGAUGGAAUCCCACUUUCUGAUAGAAUGUUCAGCAUCUCCCUGAGGGGUAGAGAGCAACGUGUAUCAUAGCAUUUUACUUUCAUCAAUUGAUUUCUGCUCAUGGGGUCCCAGAAGAAGGCUUCAAAGUGAACCUAGUCUAGGACUUUAAGCCAGAGAACAUAGAGAUAUUAGUUUCUCCAUAUUUGAAUGAAGAUAAUCCAUCACAGAAAAACACUGGAUGGACCAGUGCCAGGACAGAUUCUUUCUGAGUCAUUCCUGUUGGAAUUCCUUGAUAUACCUAUUGGAAGAUGGGAUAGGAGCAGUGGGGUUAUUCUGUCUGGUAAGAUUGAGCUAUGGAUCUUAUGUAGAUGCAAAUGAUCAUGUAUCCCUGGUUAGUAAAGAAGGAAGGUCUAGAAUGCUUCUUGGUUAAUGCAAUAGGACUAUCUCCUCUUGUGUCAACAAUAUACUAAGUACUAAUGUACUAAGAAGGAUGGUAUAAUAGAGCUGCCCUAAAGAGAAGAGAAUAAAUGAGGGGAUAUUUUUAUUAUUCUGUGCUGAGACAUCAUCAAAACCUGCUUUUCACAACAUGGGGUAUGUUUUUUUUCCUCUGACUUACAUCCCUUCUGUUUAUCAACUCUUUCUUUUCAUCAGUUCCUAUCUAUGAUAUCCAUUCCUCCUGGACCCUCUGUCAGGUCCUAUGCAGAAUCCAAAUAAAUUAUUGAAUCUAUUAGACUCUCACCUAUGACCAGGGUACUAAAAGUUUCAAUAGAAUAUGAUCACUCAGAAGAGAGGCUGUAUGUACCAUAACCUCUGUAUUGGACCCCAAAGGAGCAGUUCAAAUUGCCAAGCAUAAAUUUCCCAAAGAGAAACCAUCUUUGUCUGUUGGCUACAAUGUUGGCUGAGACUAGCUCACCCAUUUUGUACAGAUCAAACAUGCCAUAGUCGAUGCCAAAGAAACACUGCAGGGCCAAUGUGCUUCCAAGUCCCAGUAUGUGGUAUUGAUGGGAAGGGUUUGGGAAUAGCCCACGAGGGAAGAAGAUGGCUUAGGGACUGUGAAAUUAGAUUUUACAAGGAUGUAUUCCCCCCCCCCAUCUUGCAUUUCACAUGUCAUGGCCUUUAACCAGCUGUGUGGCUUUUGCUAAGAAAUCAUGCUGUUCAAUAGUCAUUCUCUACAUGGAACUCCCCAAAAAGGCCAAAGCUGUGGCAAAGAGCUUAGACCCUCAAAAAGAGUUUGCUUAGUGUUGCAUCUGACCCACCAGAGAUGUGUAUUUUCAGAGUGUCAUUGGGUAGUGAUAACAAAUGUGGGAAAUUCUUGUAGUAAUCAUAACAUCUGACUGUUCCUCUGUGGUCUGGGGUCAUGUUAUCCAUAGAUAUCAAGGCUUGGUACUGCCCAAUAAAGUGUAUGUACUGUGAGUUCAGGGGAUUGAGGAACUUUUUCUCUUCAUUCACAAGAAUAAACUUUUUAUAGCCCUCCUAUGAGAGACACUAGACUCUAAUAUUACCUCCUAAAAUCACCACAGGGCUGGGAAGGGCUGAUAGGCUGGGUUUAUUGUAGAAGAUUCCUAGGAGAGAAAGAAACAGCUAACUACAUGUUGUCACAAGCCCACAAUGCUCUCCAUGGCUAGACUUUUGGGAGGGAAAUACCCAUGGAGCACAGAGCAUUGGCCUAAGACCCUGACUGUUCCUCCAGUUCAAGGAUAACAUUAUGGUUUGACAAAGAAGCUGAGCUAUAACAUUAGCAAUGACAUCAUCUGGCAUGGUCACAGAAUGGUUGGAAAACUUAUCCUUGUUCCCAGUCAAUUCCUGGGUUUGGGUGGUCCAGGUUUGGGGGAUUCCCUCUUUAUGCAAAACAUACAUUUCUGAAUCUAUGGUCCAUUGACUGCAGUUAAUCAUGGGGAAUCCUGAGGUGAUCACAGAGCUUGACUCAGCUUUGAUGGUGGAUUUAUGGAGUGUCCCUACAAGACAUAGGAGACAAGGAGGUAUGUUUGACUGAAAAUGAGAUGUCACUUAAGGUGAUCCAAAGUAAGAGAGAGUACAACAUAGACUAAUUUCUGAGUCUAUAUUUCUGUCUUGGACGUCCUGUUAUUUUACUCUCAUUGUCUGUCUGCAAUAAUAUAUCUUGGGUCUCCUUGUCUCUUGUGCUCUGCAUCAAUGGGCUAAAGAUAUUUGAAUUCUUGUAUACACCACAUGCCUGGUCCUCUAUGUGAACCUGUAUCAAGUUUAACAUUAUUGUAGAGAAAGAUUUGGUUUUGACCAUACUUAUGAUCUGCUUCUGUAAUUGCUGUAGCAUCUGACAGUCCACUUCUAGUUGGGAGUCAAGGAGUUCAGAGAGAACAAGGUUUCAAUCUGCUCAGAAGACUGGUUAUACUGUGAGUUCAUGGUCCAUGAGAACUUCUGUGGUUCUUGCUUAAUCAGAAUAACCUGUCACAUUGUUGUUUUGAGACAUAUUGGACAAUAACAUUCCUUCCUAUGGCCACCAGUGAGCUUGGCAAGGCCAGCAGUCUGAGUUUAUUGUAGGCUCCUAGGAGAGAAGGAAAAACCAGGCCCAUGUACUCAGAUAUAUCCUUAUACUCUAGGAUAUUGAGGUGAAGUGCAGUCUUCAGGGCAAGCCAAUUUCCUUACAGUCAAAUGUGACUCUGAAGACACUGUGUAUUUUCUCACUUGUUACCAGUAGUUCUAUAGAGGUUCACUGUCCUCUGGUUCUCUAGCACAAAUUUGAUAGUAAGAAUAACAUUACAGUGCAUGGUGCUGCACAAUUUUUCAGAUAGAGAAUCCAGCCCUAUUUAAAAUUACAGUGGACUCUGUUUGCACCUUUUAUAUGGGUCUCUCUGUUUGUAGAUACAGUGCUCUUUGACUUCUGUGGUCUCCUCAGUCAAGAUCAUUAUCUUACUCUGCUUGCAGUCUACAGUAUCUGGCUAUGUUCUGAUGAUAGUCAUAGAGAGGAUGCCUGCAAGAAAAUGACAGCUACGACCCAAAAAUACCCUUUUUGAUAAUGCAGGUCUCAAUUCCAAGACUCUCCAGAUAUGCCAAUUAUCAGCAUACAGGCAUUGUUUUCCAUCCUCAUUUCCCAGGCAUGGAUCCAGGUUAUAAUAAAAAGAACAAGAUAGCUGCAGACACUCACCUGCUAGUACUACAUUCCCAAGUUAGAGUUAGACCUGGAAGAAUUAAUCAUGAAAAUUUUGUUCCUGAAGCUAGAGUUCAUCUUUCCAUUAGAUGAACCUUCCAAGACCCUGUGGUUUAAUGAUUAGUGAGUUCUCAGUUAUGUGUCAGGGUCAAGAUCCCCUCCUUUCUUCCCACCUCAUCCAAACAGUGCUGUGAAGGUAAAGGUCAUGACAUCCCCACCCAGAGGCUGUAGCGUGCUUAUAGGCAGAAAUACAAAGAAUGUCUGGUGUAACAGAAAACAUGGUAUGGUCUUUGGAGGCAGGGCAGUCCUGAGUACGUUGUUGUUCUUUAGUAGUCCCACAGGAAAGGGAACUGUCCUUCUCAAGUACCAGGCUCUUGUGCUACUAGUGCUCUUGCUAGGUCUGAUAGUAGACUCUCUGCAAUCAGUGCUUACAUAAAUGAUGGUUCUAUGACACUAUUAAUGUCUGCCUCAUCUGUGCUCAUCCUAUUCAGUGACAGUGAUUAUAGUGAACAAACCUGAUGUAUUCCCUAACUAUCUACUGCUAGGUGAAAUUUGCAUAUACCCUUAAUACAUUAUCACAGCGGCAAACAUUUAGGAAGCACACAAUGUUUUUUUUUUUUUUUUGAAUUAUGUAAGAUCCUUGAUAAUGUCAGUAAAUCUUUUUUUUUUUUAGCAUUUUUUUUUAUUAACUUGAGUAUUUCUUAUAUACAUUUCGAGUGUUAUUCCCUUUCCCGGUUUCCGGGAAAACAUCCCCCUCCCCCCUCCCCUUCCUUAUGGGUGUUCCCCUCCCAA